rnacentral:rRNA from 1 species
AGUGAACGCUGGCGGCGUGCUUAACACAUGCAAGUCGAACGAGAACGGGUUAUAACUUGUUAUAACUGUCCGCUAAGUGGCGCACGGGUGAGUAAUGUAUAGGUCAUAUGCCUCUUACUAAGGGAUAACAAAUGGAAACGUUUGCUGAUAGCUUAUACUCCUUAUCAACAGAAGUUAAUAAGGGAAAGAUUUAUUGGUAAGAGAUUAGCCUGUAUUGUAUCAGUUAGUUGGUGGGGUAAUGGCUUACCAAGACUAUGACACAUAACUGGUUUGAGAGAAUGAUCAGUCACACUGGAACUGAGACACGGUCCAGACUCCUACGGGAGGCAGCAGUGGGGAAUAUUGCACAAUGGACGAAAGUCUGAUGCAGCAACGCCGCGUGGAGGAUGACACAUUUCGGUGCGUAAACUCCUUUUAUAUGAGAAGAUAAUGACGGUAUUAUAUGAAUAAGCACCGGCUAACUCCGUGCCAGCAGCCGCGGUAA